AACGAACGCUGGCGGCAUGCCUAACACAUGCAAGUCGAACGAGACCUUCGGGUCUAGUGGCGCACGGGUGCGUAACGCGUGGGAACCUGCCCUUAGGUUCGGAAUAACUCCCCGAAAGGGGUGCUAAUACCGGAUAAUGUCUUCGGACCAAAGAUUUAUCGCCUUUGGAUGGGCCCGCGUUGGAUUAGCUCGUUGGUAGGGUAAAAGCCUACCAAGGCGACGAUCCAUAGCUGGUCUGAGAGGAUGAUCAGCCACACUGGGACUGAGACACGGCCCAGACUCCUACGGGAGGCAGCAGUGGGGAAUAUUGGAAAAUGGGCGAAAGCCUGAUCCAGCAAUGCCGGGUGAGUGAUGAAGGCCUUAGGGUUGUAAAGCGCUUUUACCCGGGAUGAUAAUGACAGUACCGGGAGAAUAAGCUCCGGCUAACUCCGUG
rnacentral:rRNA from 1 species